rnacentral:rRNA from 1 species
UACGUAGGGUGCAAGCGUUAAUCGGAAUUACUGGGCGUAAAGCGUGCGCAGGCGGUGAUGUAAGACAGGUGUGAAAUCCCCGGGCUUAACCUGGGAACUGCAUUUGUGACUGCAUCGCUGGAGUGCGGCAGAGGGGGAUGGAAUUCCGCGUGUAGCAGUGAAAUGCGUAGAUAUCUGGAGGAACACCGGUGGCGAAGGCGGCAUCCUGGACCGACACUGACGCUGAGGAGCGAAAGCCAGGGGAGCAAACGGG